UACGUAGGGGGCAAGCGUUGUCCGGAUUUAUUGGGCGUAAAGAGCGUGUAGGCGGCCAGGGAGGUCCGUUGUGAAAACUCGAGGCUCAACCUCGAGACGCCGAUGGAAACCGUUUGGCUAGAGUCCGGAAGAGGAGAGUGGAAUUCCUGGUGUAGCGGUGAAAUGCGCAGAUAUCAGGAAGAACACCCGUGGCUAAGGCGGCUCUCUAGUACGGUACUGACGCUGAGACGCGAAAGCGUGGGGAGCGAACAGG
rnacentral:rRNA from 1 species